rnacentral:rRNA from 1 species
GACGAACGCUGGCGGCGUGCCUAAUACAUGCAAGUAGGACGCAGUUGCGAACGGGUGAGUAACGCGUAGGUAACUACCUAUUAGAGGGGGAAAACUAUUGGAAACGAUAGCUAAUACCGCAUACUAGUAGAUGGACCUGCGUUGUAUUAGCUAGUAGGUAGGGUAAUGGCCUAACUAGGCAACGAUAAAUAGCCGACCUGAGAUGUUGAGCGGCCACACUGGGACUGAGACACGGCCCAGACGCCGUCGGGAGGCAGCAGGAGGGAAGCUUCGGCAAUGGGGGGAACCCUGACCGAGCAACGCCGCGUGAGUGAAGAAGGUUUUCGGAUCGUAAAUCUCUGUUGUUAAGGAAGCGGUACUUAACCAGAAAGGGACGGCUAACUACGUGCCAGCCGCCGCGGUAAUUC